rnacentral:rRNA from 1 species
GGUUAAGCGACUAAGCGUACACGGUGGAUGCCCUGGCAGUCAGAGGCGAUGAAGGACGUGCUAAUCUGCGAUAAGCGUCGGUGAGGUGAUAUGAACCGUUAUAACCGGCGAUUUCCGAAUGGGGAAACCCAGUGUGUUUCGACACACUAUCAUUAACUGAAUCCAUAGGUUAAUGAGGCGAACCGGGGGAACUGAAACAUCUAAGUACCCCGAGGAAAAGAAAUCAACCGAGAUUCCCCCAGUAGCGGCGAGCGAACGGGGAGGAGCCCAGAGCCUGAAUCAGUGUGUGUGUUAGUGGAAGCGUCUGGAAAGGCGUGCGAUACAGGGUGACAGCCCCGUACACAAAAAUGCACAUAUUGUGAGCUCGAUGAGUAGGGCGGGACACGUGGUAUCCUGUCUGAAUAUGGGGGGACCAUCCUCCAAGGCUAAAUACUCCUGACUGACCGAUAGUGAACCAGUACCGUGAGGGAAAGGCGAAAAGAACCCCGGCGAGGGGAGUGAAAAAGAACCUGAAACCGUGUACGUACAAGCAGUGGGAGCCUCUUAAUGGGGUGACUGCGUACCUUUUGUAUAAUGGGUCAGCGACUUAUAUUCUGUAGCAAGGUUAACCGAAUAGGGGAGCCGAAGGGAAACCGAGUCUUAACUGGGCGUUAAGUUGCAGGGUAUAGACCCGAAACCCGGUGAUCUAGCCAUGGGCAGGUUGAAGGUUGGGUAACACUAACUGGAGGACCGAACCGACUAAUGUUGAAAAAUUAGCGGAUGACUUGUGGCUGGGGGUGAAAGGCCAAUCAAACCGGGAGAUAGCUGGUUCUCCCCGAAAGCUAUUUAGGUAGCGCCUCGUGAAUUCAUCUCCGGGGGUAGAGCACUGUUUCGGCAAGGGGGUCAUCCCGACUUACCAACCCGAUGCAAACUGCGAAUACCGGAGAAUGUUAUCACGGGAGACACACGGCGGGUGCUAACGUCCGUCGUGAAGAGGGAAACAACCCAGACCGCCAGCUAAGGUCCCAAAGUCAUGGUUAAGUGGGAAACGAUGUGGGAAGGCCCAGACAGCCAGGAUGUUGGCUUAGAAGCAGCCAUCAUUUAAAGAAAGCGUAAUAGCUCACUGGUCGAGUCGGCCUGCGCGGAAGAUGUAACGGGGCUAAACCAUGCACCGAAGCUGCGGCAGCGACACUAUGUGUUGUUGGGUAGGGGAGCGUUCUGUAAGCCUGUGAAGGUGGCCUGUGAGGGUUGCUGGAGGUAUCAGAAGUGCGAAUGCUGACAUAAGUAACGAUAAAGCGGGUGAAAAGCCCGCUCGCCGGAAGACCAAGGGUUCCUGUCCAACGUUAAUCGGGGCAGGGUGAGUCGACCCCUAAGGCGAGGCCGAAAGGCGUAGUCGAUGGGAAACAGGUUAAUAUUCCUGUACUUGGUGUUACUGCGAAGGGGGGACGGAGAAGGCUAUGUUGGCCGGGCGACGGUUGUCCCGGUUUAAGCGUGUAGGCUGGUUUUCCAGGCAAAUCCGGAAAACCAAGGCUGAGGCGUGAUGACGAGGCACUACGGUGCUGAAGCGACAAAUGCCCUGCUUCCAGGAAAAGCCUCUAAGCAUCAGGUAACAUCAAAUCGUACCCCAAACCGACACAGGUGGUCAGGUAGAGAAUACCAAGGCGCUUGAGAGAACUCGGGUGAAGGAACUAGGCAAAAUGGUGCCGUAACUUCGGGAGAAGGCACGCUGAUAUGUAGGUGAAGCGACUUGCUCGUGGAGCUGAAAUCAGUCGAAGAUACCAGCUGGCUGCAACUGUUUAUUAAAAACACAGCACUGUGCAAACACGAAAGUGGACGUAUACGGUGUGACGCCUGCCCGGUGCCGGAAGGUUAAUUGAUGGGGUUAGCGGCAACGCGAAGCUCUUGAUCGAAGCCCCGGUAAACGGCGGCCGUAACUAUAACGGUCCUAAGGUAGCGAAAUUCCUUGUCGGGUAAGUUCCGACCUGCACGAAUGGCGUAAUGAUGGCCAGGCUGUCUCCACCCGAGACUCAGUGAAAUUGAACUCGCUGUGAAGAUGCAGUGUACCCGCGGCAAGACGGAAAGACCCCGUGAACCUUUACUAUAGCUUGACACUGAACAUUGAGCCUUGAUGUGUAGGAUAGGUGGGAGGCUUUGAAGUGUGGACGCCAGUCUGCAUGGAGCCGACCUUGAAAUACCACCCUUUAAUGUUUGAUGUUCUAACGUUGGCCCGUAAUCCGGGUUGCGGACAGUGUCUGGUGGGUAGUUUGACUGGGGCGGUCUCCUCCUAAAGAGUAACGGAGGAGCACGAAGGUUGGCUAAUCCUGGUCGGACAUCAGGAGGUUAGUGCAAUGGCAUAAGCCAGCUUGACUGCGAGCGUGACGGCGCGAGCAGGUGCGAAAGCAGGUCAUAGUGAUCCGGUGGUUCUGAAUGGAAGGGCCAUCGCUCAACGGAUAAAAGGUACUCCGGGGAUAACAGGCUGAUACCGCCCAAGAGUUCAUAUCGACGGCGGUGUUUGGCACCUCGAUGUCGGCUCAUCACAUCCUGGGGCUGAAGUAGGUCCCAAGGGUAUGGCUGUUCGCCAUUUAAAGUGGUACGCGAGCUGGGUUUAGAACGUCGUGAGACAGUUCGGUCCCUAUCUGCCGUGGGCGCUGGAGAACUGAGGGGGGCUGCUCCUAGUACGAGAGGACCGGAGUGGACGCAUCACUGGUGUUCGGGUUGUCAUGCCAAUGGCACUGCCCGGUAGCUAAAUGCGGAAGAGAUAAGUGCUGAAAGCAUCUAAGCACGAAACUUGCCCCGAGAUGAGUUCUCCCUGACUCCUUGAGAGUCCUGAAGGAA